GACGGAGGAUGCAAGUGUUAUCCGGAAUCACUGGGCGUAAAGCGUCUGUAGGUGGUCAAAUAAGUCAACUGUUAAAUCUUGAGGCUCAACCUCAAAAUCGCAGUCGAAACUAUUAGACUAGAGUAUAGUAGGGGUAAAGGGAAUUUCCAGUGGAGCGGUGAAAUGCGUAGAUAUUGGAAAGAACACCGAUGGCGAAGGCACUUUACUGGGCUAACACUGACGCUCAGGCACGAAAGCGUGGGGAGCAAACAGG
rnacentral:rRNA from 1 species